rnacentral:rRNA from 1 species
AGUGAACGCUGGCGGUAGGCCUAACACAUGCAAGUCGAACGGCAGCACAGUAAGAGCUUGCUCUUACGGGUGGCGAGUGGCGGACGGGUGAGGAAUACAUCGGAAUCUACUUUUUCGUGGGGGAUAACGUAGGGAAACUUACGCUAAUACCGCAUACGACCUACGGGUGAAAGCAGGGGAUCUUCGGACCUUGCGCGAUUGAAUGAGCCGAUGUCGGAUUAGCUAGUUGGCGGGGUAAAGGCCCACCAGGGCGACGAUCCGUAGCUGGUCUGAGAGGAUGAUCAGCCACACUGGAACUGAGACAAGGUCCAGACUCCUACGGGAGGCAGCAGUGGGGAAUAUUGGACAAUGGGCGCAAGCCUGAUCCAGCCAUACCGCGUGGGUGAAGAAGGCCUUCGGGUUGUAAAGCCCUUUUGUUGGGAAAGAAAAGCAGCAGGUUAAUACCCCGCUGUUCUGACGGUACCCAAAGAAUAAGCACCGGCUAACUUCGUG